CUUAGAUAUCACGAAGAACUCCGAUUGCGAAGGCAGCUCACUGGAGUGUAACUGACGCUGAUGCUCGAAAGUGUGGGUAUCAAACAGGAUUAGAUACCCUGGUAGUCCACACAGUAAACGAUGAAUACUCGCUGUUUGCGAUAUACAGUAAGCGGCCAAGCGAAAGCAUUAAGUAUUCCACCUGGGGAGUACGCCGGCAACGGUGAAACUCAAAGGAAUUGACGGGGGCCCGCACAAGCGGAGGAACAUGUGGUUUAAUUCGAUGAUACGCGAGGAACCUUACCCGGGCUUAAAUUGCAGAUGAAUUACGGUGAAAGCCGUAAGCCGCAAGGCAUCUGUGAAGGUGCUGCAUGGUUGUCGUCAGCUCGUGCCGUGAGGUGUCGGCUUAAGUGCCAUAACGAGCGCAACCCUUGUUGUCAGUUACUAACAGGUUCUGCUGAGGACUCUGACAAGACUGCCAUCGUAAGAUGUGAGGAAGGUGGGGAUGACGUCAAAUCAGCACGGCCCUUACGUCCGGGGCUACACACGUGUUACAAUGGGGGGUACAGAGGGCCGCUACCACGCGAGUGGAUGCCAAUCCCCAAAACCUCUCUCAGUUCGGACUGGAGUCUGCAACCCGACUCCACGAAGCUGGAUUCGCUAGUAAUCGCGCAUCAGCCACGGCGCGGUGAAUACGUUCCCGGGCCUUGUACACACCGCCCGUCAAGCCAUGGGAGCCGGGGGUACCUGAAGUGCGUAACCGCGAGGAGCGCCCUAGGGUAAAACUGGUGACUGGGGCUAAGUCGUAACAAGGUAGCCGUACCGGAAGGUGCGGCUG
rnacentral:rRNA from 1 species